rnacentral:rRNA from 1 species
GACGAACGCUGGCGGCGUGCUUAACACAUGCAAGUCGAACGGAAAGGCCCUGCUUUUGUGGGGUGCUCGAGUGGCGAACGGGUGAGUAACACGUGAGUAACCUGCCCUUGACUUUGGGAUAACUUCAGGAAACUGGGGCUAAUACCGGAUAGGAGCUCCUGCUGCAUGGUGGGGGUUGGAAAGUUUCGGCGGUUGGGGAUGGACUCGCGGCUUAUCAGCUUGUUGGUGGGGUAGUGGCUUACCAAGGCUUUGACGGAUAGCCGGCCUGAGAGGGUGACCGGCCACAUUGGGACUGAGAUACGGCCCAGACUCCUACGGGAGGCAGCAGUGGGGAAUAUUGCAGAGUGGGCGGAAGCCUGAUGCAGCAACGCCGCGUGCGGGAUGACGGCCUUCGGGUUGUAAACCGCUUUCGCCUGUGACGAAGCGUGAGUGACGGUAAUGGGUAAAGAAGCACCGGCUAACUACGUG